UCAAGGUUCCGAAACCCAAAAUGGGUCAUAAUCCCAGUCCGAAUCCUCUGGGAAUCGGACGAUCUGGGCCAAUUAAGAUGUGCCACGUCAUCCCAACCUGUGGGAUCCAUGUGUACAAAACUGACGUGGUCUACCGUAAUUGGCCGAUUAUUACGAGUGCAUCUGUAAACGAUUCUUUCACCGACGAUACUGUAUGUGAAAUCAGAAAGGCCAACGAUCAUUCUCUUUGUAUUUCCAAAAUGCGAAGUACACAAUACAAGAAUUAUGGGAAGGGGAGAGAGAGAGACGCACGCACAAUCUGGUAAGUGGUUUGGGUGAGAAGAGAGAGUGCGAGACAGAUUAGUUACUUUUUUUUUUUUGUUUUUUGCUAAAUAAAAGAACUGUAAGCUUAUCAGAGGAAAUUUGUUGUAAGCCGAAACACAUGAGCAUUCACCGCUCCUGCUCUCGAGAAGAAAACUUACCUCGGAAGAUCAGCUAGACAAUUGAAAUGGGUCAGUUGGCUAAGAUACAUAGAAAGAUUUGAAGGUAUGGGUUGGUAUACUCUGCAACAUGUGCAAUGUGGCAAAUUCGUAUUAUUCUCCCUUUGUGUUUUGGUUUUGGUUUUGGUCUGUCAAUGGUACACAAAACAUGUUCACUUAUGGCUCCAUUUCUGUGCAUGUUUUGGUUUUGGUCUAUGGCAAGCAUAAACAUGUCCAUUUAUAUUCCAUUCCGUGCAUGUGAGCGGUGCCUGAUCAUGCUAAAUUUUAUACAAGCACAAGGGAAAUGGUAGGCCAAUGCUUCCUGUCCUGCUGCGAGCAGAUGGCUGGUGAAGACUGUACAUUACUGAGCCCAUGUUCAACAUCAGUGUUGACAGGCUUACUGAAGAUGCGAGCUAGCCUGGUUGGUAUAAUCCAUGAAUGUUGGUUGAUGCUACAAACCUGGGCCCGAAACUGUCUUCACUGACUAAUCUACUAACCUACUUACUACAGCCGCCUGCCCACUGAAGGAAAACAUGUGGCCAUACAUCCUGGAUGGCUAGGAUGGCAACCAAUCUGUUUGUUCUUGUCCUGCCAUAAGCGAAUAGAUGCAUUAUUCUCUGUUUAGUCCAUGCUCAGCACUAGUGUUCGCAUGCUUGUUGAAGUCUUGAAGAUGCCAGCUAACUCAAUUGGUAAACUUCACAGUGUUGGUCGAUGGCCCAGACCUUGGUCCAAAACUUGUCUCCACUGCCUAUCCUACAAACUACGUCCAUCACUUGCCCACCAAAAGAUGUCCAGGCAUGCCUACUGGAUAGCAAGCAGUGUGUCUUUCCUUGUCCCCAGCUACAGGACAGAAGUUCUUUCAGACAAGAUCAAAGGAUGAUUUGAAUGAUUGGUUCUCCUUUUGUUGCCCAUAUCUAUAUCGAUUAUUUGCCCAUAUGGAGGACAUAUUGAAUGUUAAUGGGAUUGUGCAUUUGGCAGAAUGUACUUCUAGAGUUGAUACAUGUCAUGUUCUUAGGUCUUGGACCUUUUGGAAUUUCUUCAUCUGCCAUUUAUAGAGUAUAGAAUGUCUGAAAUCCCCCAAUAUUAGCAUGCUCCUUGUGUCAUUCAUUGGUUUUAUAUUGGAAUUUAAAUUACUUAGACUAGAACAUAUGGACACCAUCUAGGUCCCUGAUAUGCCACAUUGAUUUUCUAUAUUAAAUGCUGUUCUCAGAUCUCACCGUCA